CGAAGUCGAGGUUUUUAUUCACGAUAAUCACCGAGCCUGAGGUGAAUAAUUGUUUUAGUAUAAUUUCAUAGGUGAUUAUUUGGAAAAAAAUUUAAAAAUGCACAUUUCUUCGUCAUUUAAUUGACAAAACGGCUUCGGCCGCCAUUUUGAAAAUCGCUUAGAUGAUUAUCGUGUAAUAAUCACCUCAACGGCAACCAAUCAGCGUGGAGAAUUUUCAAUAAUCACCUAUGUAAUUAUACUAA